rnacentral:rRNA from 1 species
UCCUUAGAUGUUCGGGGCCGCACGCGCGCUACACUGAAGGAAUCAGCACGUCUUUCUCCUUGUCCGAAAGGACUGGGUAACCCGCUGAACCUCCUUCGUGCUAGGGAUUGGGGCUUGUAAUUCUUCCCCAUGAACGAGGAAUUCCCAGUAAGCGCGAGUCAUAAGCUCGCGUUGAUUACGUCCCUGCCCUUUGUACACACCGCCCGUCGCUACUACCGAUUGGAUGGUUUAGUGAGAUCCUCGGAUUGGUCCCGGAGCGGCCUCUGGUCGUGCCGGAGUGCCGAAAAGAAUGUCGAACUUGAUCAUCUAGAGGAAGUAAAAGUCGUAACA